GACGAACGCUGGCGGCGUGCUUAACACAUGCAAGUCGAACGGAAAGGCCCUGCUUUUGUGGUGUUCUCGAGUGGCGAACGGGUGAGUAACACGAGAGUAACCUGCCCUUGACUUUGGGAUAACUUCAGGAAACUGGGGCUAAUACCGGAUAGGAGCUCCUGCUGCAUGGUGGGGGUUGGAAAGUUUAGGCGGUUGGGGAUGGACGCGCGGCUUAUCAGCUUGUUGGUGGGGUAGUGGCUUACCAAGGCUGUGACGGGUAGCCGGCAUGAGAGGGUGAACGGCCACAUUGGGACUGAGGGACGGCCCAGACUCCUACGGGAGGCAGCAGUGGGGAAUAUUGCACAAUGGGCGGAAGCCUGAUGCAGCAACGCCGCGUGCGGGAUGACGGCCUUCGGGUUGUAAACCGCUUUCGGCUGUGACGAAGCGUGAGUGACGGUAAUGGGUAAAGAAGCACCGGCUAACUACGUG
rnacentral:rRNA from 1 species